rnacentral:misc_RNA from 1 species
AACGCACAUUGCGCCCACUGGUAUUCCGGUGGGCAUGCCUGUCUGAGCGUCAGUAUAAUCUCAAGCAACCGCUUGGUAUUGGAGGAUGAGCUGCCUAGCAGUUCACUUCUUAAACUGAUUGGCAAGUUUACAUAGCAGCAAGCGUAGUAGAAAUACCAUCAGCUUAGUUACUGUGUAUAGCUUUGUCAAAAUCAAACUAUUUUUAAGGUUUGACCUCAGAUCAGGUAAGGAUACCCCCUGAACUUAA